CCUACGGGCGGCAGCAGUGGGGAAUAUUGCGCAAUGGGCGAAAGUCUGAUGCAGCGACGCCGCGUGAGCGAUGAAGGAUUUCGGUAUGUAAACCUCUGUCAGCAGGGAAGAAAGCGCCUGUCCCUAACCAACAAUCCGUUGCUAACUCCGUCCCAGGAACCGCGGGAAUACGUAGGGCGCAAGCGUUAGGCGGAUUUACUGGGUGGAAGGUGAGCGUAGACGGCUGUGCAAGCUGGAUGUGAAAGCCCUGGGCUCAACCCUGGGACAGCACUUGAUACUGAGCGGCUGGACUGCCGGAGAGGGUGGCGGAAUUCCAGGUGUAGGAGUGAAAUCCGUAGAUAUUUGGAGGAACAUCAGUGGCGAAGGCGGCCAGCUGGACGGGUAUUGACGUUGAGGCGCGAAAGCGUGGGGAGCAAACAGGAUUAGAUACCCUUGUAGUC
rnacentral:rRNA from 1 species